ACCCAUGUCCAGGAUGAAGGUAAGGUAAUACUUACUGGAGGUCCGAACCCACGCACGUUGAAAAGUGCGGGGAUGAGGUGUGGGUAGCGGAGAAAUUCCAAUCGAACUUGGAGAUAGCUGGUUCUCUCCGAAAUAGCUUUAGGGCUAGCCUCGAGGUAAAGAGUCAUGGAGGUAGAGCACUGUUUGGACUAGGGGCCCUUCUCGGGUUACCGAAUUCAGAUAAACUCCGAAUGCCAUGUACUUAUACUCGGGAGUCAGACUGCGAGUGAUAAGAUCCGUAGUCGAAAGGGAAACAGCCCAGACCACCAGUUAAGGUCCCCAAAUAUAUGUUAAGUGGAAAAGGAUGUGGGGUUGCUUAGACAACCAGGAUGUUGGCUUAGAAGCAGCCACCAUUGAAAGAGUGCGUAAUAGCUCACUGGUCGAGUGACCCCGCGCCGAAAAUGUACCGGGGCUAAACAUAUUA
rnacentral:rRNA from 1 species